rnacentral:rRNA from 1 species
GCGCACCAGUCGAGAAAACUUUACAAUGUGCGAAAGCACGAUAAGGGAACUCUGAGUGCCUCCUAAGGAGGCUGUUCAGGUGUCUAAAAAGCACCUGGAGUAAGGGCUGGGUAAGACCGGUGCCAGCCGCCGCGGUAACACCGGCAGCCCAGGUGGUAGCCACUUUUAUUGGGUCUAAAGCGUCCGUAGCCGGUUGAGUAAGUUCCUUGGGAAAUUUGGCUGCUCAACAGUCAAGCUUCCAGGGAAUACUGCUCGACUUGGGGACUGGGAGAGGUCAGAGGUACUCCAGGGGUAGGGGUGAAAUCCAUUAAUCCCUGGGGGACCACCGGUAGCGAAGGCGUCUGACCAGACCAGGUCCGACGGUGAGGGACGAAGGCUAGGGGCGCGAACCGGAUUAGAUACCCCCGGUAGU